UACCAGCACCCCGAGUGGUCGGGGCGAUUAUUGGGCCUAAAGCAUCCGUAGCCGGCCUUACAAGUCCUCCGUUAAAUCCAGCUGCUUAACAGAUGGGCUGCGGAGGAUACUAUAAGACUAGGAGGCAGGAGAGGCAAGCGGUACUCAGUGGGUAGGGGUAAAAUCCGUUGAUCCAUUGAAGACCACCAGUGGCGAAGGCGGCUUGCCAGAAUGCGCUCGACGGUGAGGGAUGAAAGCUGGGGGAGCAAACCGG
rnacentral:rRNA from 1 species